UACGGGGGGGGCAAGCGUUGUUCGGAAUUACUGGGCGUAAAGGGCUUGUAGGCGGCCAACUAAGUCAGACGUGAAAUCCCUCGGCUUAACCGGGGAACUGCGUCGGAUACUGGAUGGCUUGAGUUUGGGAGAGGGAUGCGGAAUUCCAGGUGUAGCGGUGAAAUGCGUAGAUAUCUGGAGGAACACCGGUGGCGAAGGCGGCAUCCUGGACCAACACUGACGCUGAAGAGCGAAAGCCAGGGGAGCAAACGGG
rnacentral:rRNA from 1 species